UGGGGAAUAUUGGACAAUGGGCGAAAGCCUGAUCCAGCCAUGCCGCGUGAGUGAUGAAGGCCCUAGGGUUGUAAAGCUCUUUUGUGCGGGAAGAUAAUGACGGUACCGCAAGAAUAAGCCCCGGCUAACUUCGUGCCAGCAGCCGCGGUAAUACGAAGGGGGCUAGCGUUGCUCGGAAUCACUGGGCGGAAAGGGUGCGUAGGCGGGUUUCUAAGUCAGAGGUGAAGGCCUGGAGCUCAACUCCAGAACUGCCUUUGAUACUGGAAGUCUUGAGUUCGGGAGAGGUGAGUGGAACUUCUGAUGUAGAGGUGAAAUUCGUAGAUAUUCGCAAGAACACCAGUGGCGAAGGCGGCUCACUGGCCCGAUACUGACGCUGAGGCACGAAAGCGUGGGGAGCAAACA
rnacentral:rRNA from 1 species